rnacentral:tRNA from 1 species
GCCUUAGCUCAGUUGGUAGAGCAUCGCAUUCGUAAUGCGGGGGCCGUAGGUUCGAAUCCUACAGGCGG